rnacentral:rRNA from 1 species
UUAACACGUGAGGAACCUGCCCCGAAGACUGGGAUAACACCGGGAAACCGGUGCUAAUACCGGAUGCCCUCAACGGACCGCAUGAUCUGUUGAGGAAAUGGAUUCCGCUUCGGGAGGGCCCCGCGGCCUAUCAGCUUGUUGGUGGGGUAACGGCCUACCAAGGCUCCGACGGGUAGCUGGUCUGAGAGGACGACCAGCCACACUGGGACUGAGACACGGCCCAGACUCCUACGGGAGGCAGCAGUGGGGAAUCUUGCGCAAUGGGCGAAAGCCUGACGCAGCAACGCCGCGUGGGGGACGAAGGCCUUCGGGUUGUAAACCCCUUUCAGCAGGGACGAACAUGACGGUACCUGCAGAAGAAGCCCCGGCCAACUACGUGCCAGCAGCCGCGGUAAUA